GACCCUGUAAGGACACGUUUGCCGCCACAUACAGGAUUAUUUCUGAGCCGGUGAGAAGGACGUAGAAGCGAUUCACACCGACAGCUUCGUUUACUACCAAAGUUACGCUGAUGGCAGAACGGCAUGGCAAGGUGAAUGCUACCAUCCUUAUUAUCCAUGCAGAAUUAUAAGCGAACCAACUGUCCACAUGAUUUAGAAGAUCAAGUGUCCAUACCUGAGCACCGAGGGCUGCUUUUCAAGACUUUACAGAAGUAAAAACAUCUCCUCGUGCUGUACAUCAGCCGUGCCCGCAAAGCACAAACAUGAAGCUCUGGAGCUGAGGAUUCUCCUCUCCCUUUUCCUUCCCACGUAACACGUAUUUAUGCAAGCAGCACCGUUGCAAAAGGAACACGAGCAGGCUGUUGUCCUUCUUUCUUAUCCAACAGCAGCAGCAGCAAGGAUGGGGAAUGUCUGCAAAGGCUGGUUUAACCACCUACCAACGGCUACUUAGAACGGGCACCGCAAUGACCGGAGCAGGGUUCCCAGUUUACACCCUAGCACAGGCAGGCAGGCGUAUUUCCACAUUUCACUGCCAUGUUUGCGUCUCGUUUGCCAGACACACUGAAGUGCUCCUUAAAAUACACUGGAGAAAUUCAGCCUAAAUGGAUCACUUGCGCAAGUUCACCAACCCAGUAUGCUUGUGGAUUAAUGAAGUCAAAUUAAUUGAUUUAAAGACAACGCAAGGGAUUUUGAGAGAAUGUUUAUCCAACGUCUAAGAUGUCACUUUAAUCCUCCUCACAGUUAAUUCUUCAAACAUAGCAAGCCAGUAAAAUUUGUGAUGCAGGUCUUACACAGAAAACAUCUCCAAAGGCGUGCUAAUCACUGAACUAUUUUGCAAAUUGCUCCUAAUCUACAGUUGUUUGCCUCUGCGCUCUUCCUGCAGAGACAAUGAAAGCCUACAGGAGACAAAAUCACACAGCUACCCGUAAGGGAGCGCCCAGUCCCAGUGAAAAGGAGCUGGAGGAGAAUGGGAUGGAAGCUGAGGACUCCACGACAAGCACAGUCUACAUGUUUCUGCUGAGGGGAUG